rnacentral:lncRNA from 10 species
GAUAUUUUUCUUGUUAAAACCCAGAACUGGAGGAUCCUAGGGGUUAUGGAGGAGAAACAGUAUUAAUCAGCCGUGGGCCUUGAAUUUUAAAAUAUUUCAAAGGAAAGUUUUUAUAAGGGGUUUCAUAGACUUGAAAGAUAAGUGGAUAUGAAGACAGACCUCAGUGUGAAAAAGUGAAGGACUUGAACGACUUUAAGACGUGCCUUGUUUUCCAUAAAGAUGACAAAAAACUGCUGCAGACAUUUGUAAAAUAUAAAGCACUAAAAAAGGAAGAAAAUUAAAAAAAAAUAAAAACCCGAAGCAGGACAACUAUUAAUAACAGACCCACAGAUCUACAUCUCCAAGCCUAAACUUUUUUCAGAAACCCAGGCUUGUAUCACUGCCUGUCUACUGAGAUUUCCAUUUAGCUGGCUAGGAGACCUAAACAAACUGUCUGCAAAACGUGACCUAGAAUCCGUCUUCUCAUCCUUCCUGCUGUCACUCUUAUGCAGGCCACUGUUUUCCUUCACUUGGACCAGAAUGUAGCUCUCUAACUGACUUCCCCUCUUCUACUCUUUCUCACCUCUACUCCAUUCUCUGUACCAGUGUUUCUCACACUUUAAUGUGCAUAUGAAUCACCUAGGGAUCUUAAUUGAGUUCCGAUGUGGUGCUUCAGAUUGCAUUUUUAACAAGCUCAGAAGUGAUUCUGAUGCUGGUGGUUGGGGACACAGUUUGGUGAGACUCUACACUGAGUAAAUCAGACGAUGUCAUUUAGCAACUUAAAUAGCAUAGUAUUUCACUUAGGGUAAAAUAGAAACAGCUUAUCAUUCUCUAACAAGGCUUGUAUAAUCUGGACCCUGACUACCUUUCCAGCCACUUUUCUCAUCAUUUUCCAGUUUUACUAUGCUCUAGUCACACUGACUUUCCUGGAACUCAGUGAAUUUGUUGUAUAAUAGCCUCUAAGAUUAUUUGCUUGCUGUUCUCUCUGUUGGAAAUUUUCAGGGAGCUGAGCUCUACUUGCUUAAUUUUUUCCAAGCCUUCAUUCCAGCCUCAGCAAAAAUGUCACCUCAUACCUGAGAAACUUCUGAUUAUAGACUCCUCAGUGUCUUCUGUAUAACUUCAAUCUCUUCUAUGCAACAGUUAACAGAAUCUAGGUGUUUGUUUUUCUCCUAUUUAUUGACCUUUCCCUUUAGAACCUAAGCUCCCCACGAGCACGAUCCUAGCGUACAUAUCUGCCUACCUAGGUGGUUCACCAUUGAGCACAUAUUUAUUGAAGUCCCAUGUGCCGGCCAUUUUCCCACGUACUGUGGAUAAAUGAUAAGACAAGUCCCAGUUGUCAUACUCUAUUGGGGGUAGGAGGGAGAGGAGACACAAUUACCAGUGAAAUACAUAAAAUAAUACAAAACAAUGUCAGAUAGUGGUAAGUGCAUUGUCGAGAAUUAAAACUGAGCAAAUAUCUGUGUUAGUUCCGGUCGUCAAGAAAGGCCGUUCAGAACUGACAUUUAAGCUGAAGUGUGAUGACAAGAAGAAAUGAGCCAUGAGAGGAAGAGCAUUCCAGAAUGGCAGAGUUCGUGCAAUGGAGGAAUUGAAUUGGUCUUUUAAAAAAAAAAAAAAAUCUAGCAUACCCGGUGUGUAAUGAGGAGUGGCAGGAAUUGUGGUGCAAGAGCUAGGCAGCUGUUCGUUCAUAUAGGCCCUUUAAUGUCCAUUUAAGGGAUGCUAUUGGAGAGUUUUCAGCAGAACACUGAUAUGAUAUGGUUUAAUUAUUAAAAUAUUCUAUGUGGCAAAUGAAUUAUAAGGAUACAAGAAUGGCAAUAGGGGUGCCAUUCUUGUGGGAGACAAGGGAGACAAUUAGGAGGUGAUUAACAUUGCCUAGGCAUGAAAUGAUGAUGGCUUGGUCUGGGGUAGCAGAUAAAAUGAUGAAAUAAAGAUUUGGGAUG